rnacentral:rRNA from 1 species
UACGGGGGGGGCAAGCGUUGUUCGGAAUUACUGGGCGUAAAGGGCGCGUAGGCGGCCUGCUAAGUCGGACGUGAAAUCCCUCGGCUCAACCGGGGAACUGCGUCCGAUACUGGAAGGCUUGAAUCCAGGAGAGGUGAGUGGAAUUCCGAGUGUAGAGGUGAAAUUCGUAGAUAUUCGGAAGAACACCAGUGGCGAAGGCGGCUCACUGGACUGGUAUUGACGCUGAGGUGCGAAAGCGUGGGGAGCAAACAGG